UAAAAGGUACCCCGGGGAUAACAGGCUGAUCUUCCCCAAGAGUCCAUAUCGACGGGAUGGUUUGGCACCUCGAUGUCGGCUCGUCGCAUCCUGGGGCUGGAGCAGGUCCCAAGGGUUGGGCUGUUCGCCCAUUAAAGCGGCACGCGAGCUGGGUUUAGAACGUCGUGAGACAGUUCGGUCUCUAUCCGCCGCGCGCGUCAGAAACUUGAGGAAACCUGUCCCUAGUACGAGAGGACCGGGACGGACGAACCUCUGGUGCACCAGUUGUCCCGCCAGGGGCACCGCUGGAUAGCCACGUUCGGUCAGGAUAACCGCUGAAAGCAUCUAAGCGGGAAACCUUCUCCAAGAUCAGGUUUCUCACCCACUUGGUGGGAUAAGGCCCCCCGCAGAACACGGGUUCAAUAGGUCAGACCUGGAAGCUCAGUAAUGGGUGUAGGGAACUGGUGCUAACCGGCCGAAAACUUACAACACCC
rnacentral:rRNA from 1 species